CCUACGGGUGGCAGCAGUGGGGAAUAUUGCUCAAUGGGGGAAACCCUGAUGCAGCCACGCCGCGUGGAGGAUGAAGCGUUUCGGCUUUUAAAGUUCUUUUGUUAGGGAAGAUAAUGACGGUAUCUUACCAAUAAGCUCCGACUAACUCCGUGCCAGCCGCCUCGGUACUACGUAGGGUGCAAGCGUUACCCGGAUUUACUGGGCGUAAAGGGGGCGUAGGCGGGAUAGCAAGUCAGUGGUGAAAUCCUAUGGCUCAACCACAGAACUGCAUUUGAAACUGGUAGUCUAGAGUACAGGAGAGGUAGGCGGAAGUCGUGGUGUAGCGGUGAAAUGCGUAGAGAUCAAGAGGAACACCGAUGGCGAAGGCGACCUGCUAGAACAUAACUGACGCUGAUGCGCGAAAGCGUGGGGAGCAAACAGGAUUAGAUACCCUAGUAGUC
rnacentral:rRNA from 1 species